rnacentral:rRNA from 1 species
UACGUAGGGUGCGAGCGUUGUCCGGAAUUGCUGGGCGUAAAGAGCUCGUAGGUGGUUUGUCACGUCGUCUGUGAAAUUCCGGGGCUUAACCUCGGGCGUGCAGGCGAUACGGGCAAUACUUGAGUGCUGUAGGGGAGACUGGAAUUCCUGGUGUAGCGGUGAAAUGCGUAGAGAUCCGGAGGAACACCAGUGGCGAAGGCGACACGCUGGGCCUGACCUGACGCUGAGAGGCGAAAGCAUGGGGAGCGAACGGGAUUAGAUACCCG